rnacentral:rRNA from 1 species
UACAGAGGGUACAAGCGUUGUUCGGAAUUAUUGGGCGUAAAGGGCGCGUAGGCGGUUCGGCAAGUCUCUAGUGAAAUCUCAGGGCUUAACUCUGAGUCUGCUGGGGAAACUGCCGGGCUUGAGUGUGGGAGAGGAGAGUGGAAUUUCCGGUGUAGCGGUGAAAUGCGUAGAUAUCGGAAGGAACACCUGUGGCGAAAGCGGCUCUCUGGACCACAACUGACGCUGAGGCGCGAAAGCUAGGGGAGCAAACAGG